AUAUAUGGACUAUGUGAAAUAGACAUCAUGGUGAAGUAAGCUCAAUUAAUUCAAGAACAUGAUUGUUACAUCCAAAGACCACACAAGACAAUUCCAAGGCAGAAUUGAUCCUAUUGCAUCAGUAACUCCAGCAGAGGAUUAAAGGGAUUAAAGAGUAAGGGAGCUACCUGCACCUACAUCUAACCUCUGAGUGUGUAUACUUCUACUGAUGGUUGGUAGCAUUCACCUGAAACAAAGAACCAGUUUGUCUCCUGGUGAUAGGCAAAUGAGAAGCACCAUUCAAAUGAAUCCAGCUGGCCUGCUCAGCCAUGAUUCUGGUCUUUUGGCUAUCUAACUAGUAUUUUUAAAUGUUAUUCUGAAUAAGAACUCAGAAACUGCCAUUUCUGGAUAAACCUGUGGGAGUGAAUAAACUGAGUGGGAGAACCUGGCUUUACCAUUAGGAGCUGGUGGAAGGUAUGGACUGCUACUUUUUCUUUGCAUUUGAAAGACAAGCAGAAAGUGUUUCUAGAAAAUCAUUUUUUAACUCUUGUAGCAGUCAGAUAGUCUUGCUGUGUACUUCCUAAUAAAUUAAUAAAAAGAAUAUGUUCCUAGAAAUCCAUAUCAGUCCUUUAAUAAGCAAAGAACAUCACGUGUGUGAGAUGCUAAGUACUGAGGGAGCUUAUCACUCUGCAGAAGAGGAUUUUCUGUCUUCUUUCUUGUAGGAGGACUCAGUGAAAGCUCUUGGGCUCCUUGGUUCUCUUCUCAGGCUCCUUCUAUCACAGCACUUGCCUCUAUACAUUUAUUAAAACAAAGUUAUAAGCAAAGACAAAACAUGGACAUCCACAACAGAAAUGCUGAAGCUGAUGGUGAGCAGAUGAAAGAGGUUCUCCCAUGACAGUAUUUUCUAGACUGCCUGCAUACCCAGGGAGAUAGAAGGAGGGUAUGUCUGUGUCUGACUGCAGAAGGGAUAACAAUGACAUGUGCUGAUUUUUGUCCAG
ensembl:lncRNA